rnacentral:rRNA from 1 species
UACGGGGGGGAGCAAGCGUUGUUCGGAUUUACUGGGCGUAAAGGGCGCGUAGGCGGCCACCGCAAGUCGACUGUGAAAAUCUCCGGGCUUAACCCGGAAAGGUCAGCCGAUACUGCGGGGCUAGAGUGCAGAAGGGGCAACUGGAAUCUCGGUGUAGCGGUGAAAUGCGUAGAUAUCGAGAGGAACACCUGCGGCGAAGGCGGGUUGCUGGGGCUGACACUGACGCUGAGGCGCGAAAGCUAGGGGAGCGAACGGG